GAGAAUCAUCUCUCCCAGAUAAUGGCACUCUCAAACAAGUUUCCAAAUUGUUUGAAAGGCUAUUUCUUGGUCAGAUGACUCUC
rnacentral:pre_miRNA from 10 species